AUCGUCCCAGGUGCAGCAGAGGUUCACCUGCACCUCCUCCACCUCAUCUAUUGCAUCAGCUGCUCCAGAUGUCAGCUGCUCUACAUCGGUGAGACCAAGCGUUGCUUGGCGAUCGCUUAGCCGAACACCUCAGUUCGGUUCAUAAUAACCAACCUGAUCUCCCGGUGGCUCAGCACUUCAACUCCCCCUUCCAUUCCGAAUCCGACCUUACUGUCCUGGGCCUCCUCCAUGGCCACAGUGAGCAACAGCGGAAAUUGGAGGAACAGCACCUC